AGCACGGGGCCCACGAGAGGAAGUCUCCAGCAGCAGCUAAUCCUGGGCGGAGAUGACAGCCCGGAGCCUUGGGCUGUUUAAACUCCAGCUGCACGGAAAGCCUCCAGCUGAGAGAGUUUCCCAGAGUCUGUCCCCGGGGUCGAGCCUUCGGGGGCCAGGCCAUGGGAGCUGGGUCUUCCUGUGCCUGGAGCCUUGUCCCCUGCGGACCUGCAGUGUGGCCAGAUGAUGAGUCUUGCACUGAGCAGAACUCCUUGGGCCUUAGGGGGUUCUGCCACCACCCAGCCAUCAUUGGCAGGGCAGGGAAGGCCGGCCCACACCCAGGUCUCGCUGCCUGGACCCUCUGGGGGAGCAAGCUUUGAGCAGGAGAGGGGCCAGGAGCCCCUGAGGAGCAGGAGCGAGGGCUCAGAGCCACAGAGAAUUCCUCAGCCAGGCCUGUGACAAACACAGCUGCCACUCCUCUUCCAGCCCCACUGCCCCAGCCACAUCACAUUGGUCCUGGUCACUCGCAGGGAAGGGCACUCACUGUCCAGGGAGAAAACCCAUUCCUUUCCUCUGGUUCUCUUCCCCAAAGACAUGCAAAUACUUUUUCCAGGAAUUUUCUAACAGCAAUGAUGCACGGACCCUUAACUUUAAACUGACCUAGAGGCCCAGGAGAGCCCAAUUAUUUCUGGCACAGGCACCUGGGCACAGG
rnacentral:lncRNA from 1 species